rnacentral:rRNA from 1 species
GACGAAGGGGCUAGCGUUGUUCGGAAUUACUGGGCGUAAAGCGAGUGUAGGUGGUUGUCCAAGUUGGAUGUGAAAGCCUUGAGCUCAACUCAAGAAAUGCAUUCAGGACUGGGCGGCUAGAGGACCGGAGAGGAUAGUGGAAUUCCCAGUGUAGUGGUGAAAUACGUAGAGAUUGGGAAGAACACCAGUGGCGAAGGCGGCUAUCUGGACGGUUUCUGACACUAAGACUCGAAAGCGUGGGGAGCAAACAGG